UCUAACCACAAGGAGGGCUCGGCCGAAAGUUGGUCUUGAAACUGGGGUGAUUGAGUUCGGGGUAACAAAUCGCAAUUGAAUUUGCGGCGGCCAGAUGGUCAAAUAUAUGGAAGAACUCCCAUGGCGUUGGAUGCUCACCUGGCGAAGACUGACGCGGAACCGCGAAAGCUUGGGGAGCGAACAGGAUUAGAUGCUUUGGGAGUCCACGCUGUAAACGUUGUAUACUAGGUGUUAGCGGCUAGUCUGCUAGUGCCGAAGCAAACGCAUUAAGUAUACCGCCUGGGGAGUACGCCCGCAAGGGUGAAACUCAAAGAAAUUGACGGGGGCCCGCACAAGCGGAGGAGCAUGUGGCUUAAUUCGAUGCAACGCGAAGAACCUUACCCGGGUUUGACAUGUGACUGCAAGUCCCGUGAAAGCGGGAUUCCUUCGAGGGUGUCACACAGGUGCUGCAUGGCUGUCGUCAGUUCGUGCCGUGAGGUGUUUGGUUAAGUCCAGCAACGAACGCAACCCCUGUGACCAGUUGCCAGCGCGUAAAGGCGGGAACUCUGGUCAGACUGCCUGUUUACACAGGAGGAAGGUGGGGAUGACGUCAAGUCAGUAUGGCCCUUACAUCCGGGGCUGCACACGUGCUACAAUGGCCGGUACAAAGGGAAGCGAGACCGCGAGGUGGAGCAAACCCCCAGAGCCUGCCCCAGUUCAGAUUGCGGUCUGCAACCCGA
rnacentral:rRNA from 1 species